GUAUCUUUUCUACCAUUGCAGGAAGAAAACAUUAGACCCCGGCACUGGAAGGGCACGGAGAUCAGGCUCAUUUUUUGUGAAGAAGGCCAAGGGAGAAAAACUGUGUAAUGGUAACAACAGGCUGAGAGAAAAUGGAGCAGAUGGCUCCAUUGGAUUCCUGAACCAGGGUGCAGAAACUUCAAUUUCUUAUGCGGCGCUCAGGUUCCCUCCAAGUUUGUCCGAGGAACGCACUGUUUAUGCCAGUGUCAAAGCACCGCAACCUUUGGAUGAUGCCGUGAUCUACAGUGUGGUAAAGAAACCCCAGCUCCCCACAAAGGGAGACACCAAACCUGACUACGAGAAUGUGGUGAACAAGAGUGAAGAGGAACUGCAUUACUCAUCCUUGGUGAAUCUGGGCCCACGGCCUCGCCCCACCUAUGUAGACUCUGAAACAGACUCUGAAUCAGAGGAGAGCAUCCAGUAUGCAUCCUUGAAGCACUGAUCCUCUUGGAACUAGCAGAGAUCAGGAACUACUCCUAGACUCUUUCCCCUCUGUGUUGAGGUGGUGCCAGCGGCUGGGCCUGUAUUAUAGCUUGCUGUUUGCAAUCAAAUGCAGCAGAACUUGAGCGGGUAGUGCAGAUGAUCUGGCUGUACUGAGAGACAAGCAAGGCUGAGAUUUAGAUAGAUACAGUGCAUCACUGCCAGCACAGCGCUCCACCUAUCUACACAUUUCAUUGGUGAUCGAGAUCAGUAUCCCCAAGUCUUGUUUUUCCCAUCGGAUCAUAUGGGAAAGAUCUGCUAUUCCUUCCUUCCUUCCUUGCUUCCU